CCCAGAUGAGACAGGACAGGAAGGGAAGGCAAGGCAAGGGAGCAGAGGGGAGGGGAAAGGAGAGGAGAAUCUCCAAACUGAGUGAUUUUAGCGGCCAACUAAUCCACCUUGCAUCUAGCUAGGAAUUGAUGUGGUCUUCCAGCCUUUGAACACCUCCACUGAGGUACGGCCUGCUGCCUCCCAAGGCCACCCAUUCCAGUUGGGGGUCACUAUUACCUGGUGGCUUUUUGGAAAACCGAUCACAUCUGGGUUUCCACUUUUCCAGGCUAAACAUUCUACAGAUCCUCUUGGGCCCACAUCAGGGCACCAUGCUUUUUCUCCUCCGACUGGCUCUCUAUACGGUCACAAUCCUUCCUUAAAUGCUGGGGCCAAAGCUGAACAUGAUAUGGCCGUCAUGGAAGCUUAUGGCUCAGCACAGUCCCUGGAACACAGUAGGCGCUUAAUAAAUGUUUAUUGACUGAAAGAUUGCUUAGUCUUGGACCGAAUGUCUCUUUCUACACAGCUCGAGUGUGUGUUAGUUUCUUCGGUUGACAUGUCACACAGCUAAUACGUAUUAAACUUUCUGCCCACUAAAACCCCAAGUGCUUUUUUUUUUCAGAUGAAGACAGAAGAGAUUUCCAUUUCUCAGCAGAGCAGCUCGACACCAAGAGGCCUGUUGCUUGCAACAGUGCAGCUCAAAUGAUUCAAAUUGUGUUCAUUGGAUGUCAUGUGACAAAGAGAUGCCAUAGUUUCCCUAGUAUCACACAGCUAUUAGCUAGGAGAACUGGUAUUUGAACCCAGGCCUUCUGACUCCAAGUUCCAGACUCUUUUCUCUAUAGAUUCCAUCAUUUACAAGGUAUAGAGAGUCGUGUCUCCAAUCUAUUCUGGGUGCCCGAGUCACAAGGAUAGAGGAAUACACACCAGAUGCUGGACCAGCCCAAGAGUGCUGUCUUGAGGAGUAGGGGUCAGGAAUUCCAGCCCAGCAGAAGCCCACAUUGGGCUGCUAUCUUUGGAUGUGAACUGGAUACAAUCAAUGCUAUAGAGGAACCGAGUUAAAUUGUGAGCCUAACUUUCUCAUGGUUCCUGCCUUCCCCAACUCCCCAUUCCCAGAGAUGGAGGGGGCAUAUGCAGGGGGUUUGUCUCUCAGGUGUUUGUAUAUUUGUUCUUGCUAUAUCUUUGAAGUAAACAUCUUUUUGUAACAGCUAA